rfam:Citrus sinensis cultivar Ridge Pineapple sweet orange scaffold00521_contig_16, whole genome shotgun sequence.
GAGCGAUGAAGUUAACUCACAAGUAAUGGAUGGGUCCAUUACUACCGUCCAAUAACUUGGCGAUAGCAAGUGCCGUCUGAGCUC